rnacentral:misc_RNA from 1 species
GUGAAUCAUCGAAUCUUUGAACGCACAUUGCGCUCUUUGGUAUUCCGAAGAGCACGCCUGUUUGAGUAUCGAAAAAACCAUCACGACUUGGUCUUGGAGUUCGCUCCGAUCGACUUUGAGUCGUGGAUUUGGAAUGUCUACCGUAGGAGGCAAUCUCAAAAUAGAGCGUUGGAAGCUGGAUCUCCUUUACUGGGAUCGCUGCCCGAAAUUGUAUGAAUUGAAACCCUUUUAACCGAGGGAGUCUUCAUUUUUCUUUCUUGCAGCUUUUCGAGCCUGGUGGAGAAACGGUCGACCGAUACA